UCCCUGGUGGCUCAGAUGGUAAAGCGUCUGCCUACAAUGCAGGAGACCCAGGUUCAAUUCCUGGGUUGGGAA
rnacentral:tRNA from 1 species